ensembl:snoRNA
CCCGCCACCAUACCUGUCUUGUACUGAAGUGACUGGUGUACUCCAGUGGUGAGCUGAGAGGAAUCCCCAGCUUAGGAAGCAGGGCUAUUCUGUUUGUGGAGAGCUCUGUGCCGAAAGGCUGGGAACAUUG